GUGAAAUUGUUGAAAGGGAAACGCUUGAAGUCAGUCACGUUUGCUUGGACUCAGCCUUACUUCGGUUUGGUGCAUUUCCUUGCAGACGGGCCAGCGUCCAUGUCAAUUGCCGGAAAAGGGGUGAGAGAAUGUGGCUCCUUUGGGAGUGUUAUAGCUCUCACUCGUAUGCGGGGAAUGAUAUGGAGUGGUACAGCACACUUCGGUGGUGCUUGUGCUGGCAUAAUGGCUUUAAACGACCCGUCUUGAAACACGGACCAAGGAGUCUAACAUGUCUGCGAGUAUUUGGGUGGAAAACCCAGGUGCGUAAUGAAAGUGACAGCUGGGAACCCCUUCUGGGAGGCACCGGCACCCCGAGCUGACCUUCUGUGACGCAUCGGAGGCAGAGCAUAUAUGUUGGGACCCGAAAGAUGGUGAACUAUGCCUGAAUAGGGCGAAGCCAGAGGAAACUCUGGUGGAAGCUCGUAGCGAUUCUGACGUGCAAAUCGAUCGUCAAAUUUGGGUAUAGGGGCGAAAGACUAAUCGAACCAUCUAGUAGCUGGUUCCUGCCGAAGUUUCCCUCAGGAUAGCAGAAACUCGUAUCAGUUUUAUGUGGUAAAGCGAAUGAUUAGAGACCUUGGGGAUGAAACAUCCUUAAUCUAUUCUCAAACUUUAAAUAUGUAAGCUCAGGAUGCUUGCUUAAUUGAAGCACCUGCAAAUGAGAGUUUCUAGUGGCCAUUUUUGGUAAGCAGAACUGGCGAUGCGGGAUGAACCGAACGCGAGGUUAAGGUGCCGGAAUAC
rnacentral:rRNA from 1 species